GAUGAACGCUGGCGGCGUGCCUAAUACAUGCAAGUCGAGCGAACGGACGCGAAGCUUGCUCUUCUGUUGUUAGCGGCGGACGGGUGAGUAACACGUGGAUAACCUACCUAUCAGACUUGGAUAACUUCGGGAAACCCGAGCUAAUACCGGAUAAUAUUUUGACCCGCAUGGUUCUAGAGUGAAAGACGGUCUUGCUGUCACUUAUAGAUGGAUCCGCGCUGCAUUGGCUAGUUGGUACUGUAACGGCUUACCAAGGCAGCGAUGGAUAGCCGACGGGAGAGGGGGAUAGGCGACACGGGAAGUGAGACGCGGUCCAGGGGCCUGAGGGAGGGAGCAGUAGGGAAUGGGAGGCAAUAGGCGAGAGUAUGACGCAGCGAGGGCGAGUGAGUGACGAAGGCGUUCGGAGCGGAAAACCGUGUUUUGAGGGAAGAACAUAUGUGAAAGUAAAAGAAGAGAUAGUGACGGUACCUAAACAGAAAGCAACGGCUAACUACGUG
rnacentral:rRNA from 1 species